UACGGAGGGUGCAAGCGUUUUUCGGAAUUACUGGGCGUAAAGGGCGCGUAGGUGGUUAUGCAAGUCAGAUGUGAAAUCCUUCGGCUCAACUGAAGAACUGCAUCUGAAACUGCAUAACUAGAGUACAGGAGAGGGAAACGGAAUUCCCGGUGUAGAGGUGAAAUUCGUAGAUAUCGGGAGGAACACCUGUGGCGAAGGCGGUUUCCUGGCCUGAUACUGACACUGAGGCGCGAAAGCGUGGGGAGCAAACAGG
rnacentral:rRNA from 1 species